GGGGUUGGACCCGGACGGGGGGGUUUUUUUUUGGUUUUUAUUUUUUAAAUUUUGGGCUUUUUUGUUUGAUUUCUUUUUUGUUCCCUUUCUGGGCUUAAGUGGGGUGGGGCGGGGGCUUUUUUGUUAUGUAUUUUUUUUUUCCCCCCCCCCCCAACCAACCAGAGCUAACUUAUUUGCUUUUUCCACGGGAGUCCCCCCCAGAAAAGGAGGUGGGCACGGUUGAUCACCUGUGUACACCCCCUAAGAAGGGGAUACCCUGGAACUGGGUUUACACCUUAUAACAUAAGAACCCGUAUUGUUUUUAUUAAAACGCCUUUUGGGGUUCGGGGAGGGACGCCCCCCGCGUCCAUUACUUAGUUGGUAAGGAACCGCUUCCACAAGGCCUAAGGAUCAUAGCCCGCCUGGAGAGGGUUAUCCGCCUCCAUGGGGAAUGAGCCCCGGCCCCAAAUUUCUUGGGGGAGGCAGCAGUAGGGAAUCUUCGGCAAUGGAAGAAAGUCUGACCGAGCAACGCCGCGUGAGUGAAGAAGGUUUUCGGAUCGUAAAACUCUGUUGUUAGAGAAGAACAAGGAUGAGAGUAACUGUUCAUCCCUUGACGGUAUCUAACCAGAAAGCCACGGCUAACUACGUGCCAGCAGCCGCGGUAAUACGUAGGUGGCAAGCGUUGUCCGGAUUUAUUGGGCGUAAAGCGAGCGCAGGCGGUUUCUUAAGUCUGAUGUGAAAGCCCCCGGCUCAACCGGGGAGGGUCAUUGGAAACUGGGAGACUUGAGUGCAGAAGAGGAGAGUGGAAUUCCAUGUGUAGCGGUGAAAUGCGUAGAUAUAUGGAGGAACACCAGUGGCGAAGGCGGCUCUCUGGUCUGUAACUGACGCUGAGGCUCGAAAGCGUGGGGAGCAAACAGGAUUAGAUACCCUGGUAGUCCACGCCGUAAACGAUGAGUGCUAAGUGUUGGAGGGUUUCCGCCCUUCAGUGCUGCAGCUAACGCAUUAAGCACUCCGCCUGGGGAGUACGACCGCAAGGUUGAAACUCAAAGGAAUUGACGGGGGCCCGCACAAGCGGUGGAGCAUGUGGUUUAAUUCGAAGCAACGCGAAGAACCUUACCAGGUCUUGACAUCCUUUGACCACUCUAGAGAUAGAGCUUCCCCUUCGGGGGCAAAGUGACAGGUGGUGCAUGGUUGUCGUCAGCUCGUGUCGUGAGAUGUUGGGUUAAGUCCCGCAACGAGCGCAACCCUUAUUGUUAGUUGCCAUCAUUCAGUUGGGCACUCUAGCAAGACUGCCGGUGACAAACCGGAGGAAGGUGGGGAUGACGUCAAAUCAUCAUGCCCCUUAUGACCUGGGCUACACACGUGCUACAAUGGGAAGUACAACGAGUCGCGAAGUCGCGAGGCUAAGCUAAUCUCUUAAAGCUUCUCUCAGUUCGGAUUGUAGGCUGCAACUCGCCUACAUGAAGCCGGAAUCGCUAGUAAUCGCGGAUCAGCACGCCGCGGUGAAUACGUUCCCGGGCCUUGUACACACCGCCCGUCACACCACGAGAGUUUGUAACACCCGAAGUCGGUGAGGUAACCUUUUGGAGCCAGCCGCCUAAGGUGGGAUAGAUGAUUGGGGUGAAGUCGUACCAAGGUUGCCUGGGG
rnacentral:rRNA from 1 species